UACGAAGGGGGCUAGCGUUGUUCGGAAUCACUGGGCGUAAAGCGCACGUAGGCGGAUUUUUAAGUCAGGGGUGAAAUCCCGAGGCUCAACCUCGGAACUGCCUUUGAUACUGAGGAUCUGGAGUCCGGGAGAGGUGAGCGGAACUGCGAGUGUAGAGGUGAAAUUCGUAGAUAUUCGCAAGAACACCAGUGGCGAAGGCGGCUCACUGGUCCGGUACUGACGCUGAGGUGCGAAAGCGUGGGGAGCAAACAGG
rnacentral:rRNA from 1 species